AGGUUCGUGUCGAGCGCAGUGAGACAGCGUUGCUGAAGGCAACGACCCGGAG
rnacentral:sRNA from 1 species